UUUAUUAGCUCCUCUAAUUUUUGUUAUUUUCAAAUUAGAGUUUGUUAGAGAUUUUGUUAGGAAAAGAGGUCUAAAUCUUCUUAUGUCCUCUAGGCUUUAAGAUUGAGUGAUUUUUGAAUUCAUCCUCUUGUUCUCGGCGUUUUUCUUUUUCUGCGAUUUUCGGAGCUAUUUUUGGUUGAUUUUUCAUUCCUCACUUUUUGGCGCGAUUGGAACCGCAUUUCUUGAGCGGUUUUGUUGCUAGAAUCGUUGGGAGCAACUUUGGUUCAAUUCCCUCUUGAAUUCCUCACGAUUUCAGUCCGGAUUUUGGGAUUUCGUCAAGAACGUUUUCUUCAAGGUGCUUCCGAUUUUUCGCUCGAUUCGCAGUGGAUACUUGAUCUUUUUCCAAACUACCUCUUGGAUCUAUUAGGCCUAAUAGCUGCGCAUCUGUGGCACAAAUUUUGCUGGAAUCCAUCAUGAGCUGAGAGAGUAAUUUGUGUUAGAAGUUUUGGUUUUUCGCUCUUUCGUUUCUGUUCUCGAGUCUGCAGGAGCAAGCGACCGAGCGCGGAGCGUAACGCGCAGCUCGAGCACUCCAAGCGGUGCUCGGCGCAGCGCACGCGGAGGCUUGCGAGCGGGCGCUGCGGGGCACGCAGCAAGGCAGCGUGCAGCGCUGCGGCGGCCGAGCGGCGUCGGGAGCAGCCGGCGGCGCUGCUCGCCAGGCGGGCGGCCGUGCUCACGUGCACGUGCGCGCGCACCUGCCCAGCAGGCCGGUAGCGGGCUCGGCCCAGGAGCAGGCCACGGCCCACAGGCUAAUAGCGGAGCAGGCCGAGUGCAGAGGGCUCCAGCAGCCCACACGGCAGGAGCCCAGGAGUGGGCACUCCUCCAGCCCAAGCAGGCUCGUGCAGGCCGACAGCAGCAGCAUCAAGCGUCGCAGCAGGCAGCGCACAGCAGCAAGGCAAAGGUAAUUUGCUACAGCUAGUUCUCAUGUUCUGUCCCUUUCACGCUACAGGAUACAAUGUUAGUUUAGUUAUUUAGUUGCUGAAUGCUUUCUUUGGCUGGCCAUUUAAGUAAUUGAUUAGCUUGUUUAUUAAUCACUUUGAGCCAUGUGUUUAAUCUACUUAGUCUGGUAUUCUUGAUAGCUCGCCUGCUGUCUUUUGUUUCCUCAGUUUGCUUGAGUUGUUUAAUUGAGCAAGUUUGAUUAGAGCAAGGGUUUUAGUCAGGUGCUUUGUGAGCAACUUCUUUUUUGUCUGAUCAUUGUUGAACUGUUGCAUUCUUAAUGAAGUAAGCUCUUUUGCGAGUCUGUUUGGAAAAGCUUUUACGGCGCUUUGGUAUUUCGGCGCUUCCGCUUUGUGCUGUGUUUGUCUGAGCGGAUUGCUUUUUACGUGCUUCCGCUUUGCGUCGAGCUUUACCUAACCGUUCCUAGGGUGAACUCGUCACGUGUUGGCUUGUGUCACUUUGGCAGUUAGAAGAGAGAUGUGUCGGGAUUGAAUUCGGGACAUAGGCCUUGCUCAUUCUCUUGAAGAAUUUUUAAAGGCUCCCAUUCACCUCCCCUCUGGUCGCCUGUCCGGUCCUUCACUAUCUGAAAUAUCAGGAGCUGUUGCAUCUGAGUGUUGGUUUUGGGCCUAAUCUUCUAGGGCAUUGUUAGUGCAGUAAUGAAGCUAACUGCUGGUGCUGGUACCAUGGUGUGGAUAUCUAUCAUCUGGGAAGAUUGGCUAGGAGUAUCUUGUGCUGUGCCGCCUUCUGUUCAGGUGGCAUGGUGCUCCUCGGCAAGCUUGGCUAGGCAUUAGAGGUGAACACUAUUGUUUUGUUGAGGCAAAGUUGGGAGCUUGAGCUGGAUCUUUAGCCCUGCUAUUUGCAGAGACUUUGAUUUGUUAAACAAACCGUGUUGCUGUUUGCUAGUGGUUAGGAUUUCUCCAAAUGAUAGCAUAUCCUCUUUUUUAGUAUGUGAUUCCAUCUUGCAUGGCCAUCUGUUACUCGGGUAUGGUAUGUCUCCCAUUAUACUGAAUUUUCAUUUAACAUGCCAUGGCCUCAAGGUAGUGAUAGAAUACCUAUGUAAUAUACUUUCUGUGCACAGCCUUGCCAACAUGAGAUAGUUAACUUCCUUAUUCAUACAAUCCGUAAUUAAAGUAUUUGAAAUGCAUCGUACUCUGUUUUGUACAAAUCUCAUUUCCUGGACACAUUGGCUACUGUGAGCAUAGGAUUGUGAGCUUGAGGUAACCAAGGCCUUCUGCACGCUCCACUCAGCACUCAUCAUCAUGUAGAUUGAACUGAUUAUACCGUGUUGAUUUUUUUUCCUUUUUAACAAGCAUUUUUCGUUGACAGUUUACUAUAGGAUAUUAAGGUACCCCUGAUUGAGUUCAGAUCUUCCUAGAAGGAACAAAAAUGGUUCCUUUAUUUUUGUUACUCCUUGCUCAUUCCAACUUAUGUUCCAUAAUGUUUUAUUGCUUUAUGAAGUCAAUCUAUAAAAAUGACGCCAUUGCAUUCAAGUGUUUUUUUGUUGUUGUUGUUUUGAGGUUUGAGGUGGACACCAUGAUCUCCAUUGACAGUGCCAUCUUUUGGCAGUACCCAUCAGCCAGCUCCAGUGUGGUCUGAAAUCGAAUACUACACACUGUGUGGUCUCCAUUGACGGUGAAAAUUGAAUACUACACACUGUGGGAGGCUCGUUGUCAGAGCCAGAAAUCAACCUCCAAAGACGGUUCGACAUGAAUGAAUAAAAAAUUGAAUUCCCGCACUCCGAUCAUCCCUUUCUUGUGGAUCAACGCACAAUCCGAAGCCGCCGCAUCCGGAUGACUAGCAGAUGGGUCGGCAGUUUCCAUUUGUUUAUUUGAGCGUAGGCCCCACCAAACCGAACAUGACACUGGAGCCGUCGAAUGCUACUCACGCCAGCGAUUUUGCAGUUCAAAAUUCGAAUGCAGCAUUGGAGCUGGGCCACCAUUAGAUGUUUAGGGAAAAUUUCCCUUGACCAUCACUUGAUGGGUUUCUUGCAGAGAACAUCUGUUGUAUAGUAGAUUCUGAGUUUUAUGAGAGGAUGGUAUAGAGAAUGCAUCCACCCUCUCAGUUGCAAUUGUGACAGUUUCAGUUG